GCUUUCUCCUGAGCCGUCGGAGGGAGCCGGAGCGCUUCUCCCGAGUUGGUGAUAGAUUGGUGGUCAUCCAACAUGCAGAAAUGAAUGAGCAGUGAAAAGCAGCAGAGCCGAUGGGUCAUGAGGAUGUAAGUGCGUUUGAAGGCUUCCACACCCUCUACUCCAGGAUGCUUUUCAACUUAUGGUGGUGUGACAUCCUGAUAAACACAAUCCUCCGAAGUACUUUGGAAACGUACUAGCACCAUUCUCCGAGGCCCGAUGAUCGUACAGUGGCUGGAAACGGCAUUUUCGCAUGUGCUUUUCCUGAGUCUAGGUUGUCAGGUGGAUCCUUCUUAGGCUCCUCAGUUUGAACAAGCUGUCAGAGUGUAUCAAAGAAUACCAGAUAGGAGGAGAAGAAAAAGUAACAGCUGAAAAAAAAAAAGAGGGAAAAAAGAGUAGGCACUCCCCUCCACCCACUCUCCGGUUCCAUUCAGCACACUGACUUCAUUCAGCAGUUUUUUUCCUGCUUUGUAUGCAAAGACAGAGCCUCUCAUGAGAACUUGGAUGGUGGAGUAUAAA
rnacentral:lncRNA from 1 species